CUGUCAAUAUGGUAGGUCUGGGUUAUAAACAUGUAUAGACACUGUAUGUGAUAGAAGAUAAGGAAUCCCUGGAAUAUGCUGUUGAUAUGGUAGGUCUGGGUUAUAAACAUGUAUAGACACUGUGAUAGAAGAUAAGGAAUCCCUGGAAUAUGCUGUCGAUAUGGUAGGUCUGGGUUAUAAACAUGUAUAGACACUGUGAUAGAAGAUAAGGAAUCCCUGGAAUAUGCUGUCGAUAUGGUAGGUUGGGUUAUAAACAUGUAUAGACACUGUGAUAGAAGAUAAGGAAUCCUUGGAAUAUGCUGUCGAUAUGGUAGGUCUUGGUUAUAAACAUGUAUAGACACUGUGAUAGAAGAUAAGGAAUCCCUGGAAUAUGCUGUAAUAUGGUAGGUAGGUCUGGGUUAUAAACAUGUAUAGACACUGUGAUAGAAGAUAAGGAAUCCCUGGAAUAU
rnacentral:lncRNA from 1 species